rnacentral:rRNA from 1 species
GAAAUGCGAUAAGUAAUGUGAAUUGCAGAAUUCAGUGAAUCAUCGAAUCUUUGAACGCACCUUGCGCUCCUUGGUAUUCCGAGGAGCAUGCCUGUUUGAGUGUCAUGUAUACCUCAGCCCUCUUGGAUUUUCUGAGAUGGGACUGGAUGUGGAGGUUGCUGGUCUUUCAUCAAGUCAGCUUCUCUGAAAUGCAUUAGUGUGAAUGUUACUGAAUGUUCCCCAGUGUGAUAAUUAUCUGCAUUGUUGGAACUUUGGUUGAUCUAUAUGUUCAUGCUUAUAACUGUCCUUGACUGGACAAUAUACUUUUGCAUUUGACCUCAAAUCAGGUAGGACUACCCGCUGAACUUAA